rnacentral:rRNA from 1 species
AGCGAACGCUGGCGGCAUGCCUUACACAUGCAAGUCGAACGGUAACAGGUCUUCGGAUGCUGACGAGUGGCGAACGGGUGAGUAAUGCAUCGGAACGUGCCCAGUAGUGGGGGAUAGCCCGGCGAAAGCCGGAUUAAUACCGCAUACGACCUGAGGGUGAAAGGGGGGGAUCGCAAGACCUCUCGCUAUUGGAGCGGCCGAUGUCAGAUUAGCUAGUUGGUGGGGUAAAGGCCUACCAAGGCAACGAUCUGUAGUCGGUCUGAGAGGACGACCAGCCACACUGGGACUGAGACACGGCCCAGACUCCUACGGGAGGCAGCAGUGGGGAAUUUUGGACAAUGGGCGCAAGCCUGAUCCAGCAAUGCCGCGUGCAGGAAGAAGGCCUUCGGGUUGUAAACUGCUUUUGUCAGGGAAGAAAUCUUCUGGGUUAAUACCUCGGGAGGAUGACGGUACCUGAAGAAUAAGCACCGGCUAACUACGUGCCAGCAGCCGCGGUAA